CUAAAGAAGACAUGUAUUUUAUGUUAAUCUCAAUUUAUUACACAAUUUUUUCGCCCUAACAUGUCGAAGAGGACAUCUUAACCAAGCCUCUAUACGGACAGGCAGAAGAAUGACACUUACAUGAGCAAUGUCAAC
rnacentral:lncRNA from 1 species